CCUGGGUUCCAGAACUAGACAUAUGGGGCAGAUUCACAGCCUGACAUCGAGCCCAGAAACACACAGCUUGAGGCAGAGCCACUCAGGCUAAGCCUAGACCAGCCAAACUGUAUUGAAACUGCAAUUGGCCUACAGACCCAUGAGUUUUCCCUAGGAAAAGAAGCCCACCAGAAUCCUGGAGAAGCUGCUCCCAGAUGUACUGCAUGAUGCUAGUGAAAUCUCGGCCAUGCAAGGGGUGGACUGUAGUGGCUGCUGUGGACUGUCCAGACCACCAUCCCCAUCCCACUCCUCCAAGACUGAAGAAUGCUUGUCCUCACCCGCUGGGGAGUGUUUGUAGCAGAUAGCUCUCAACUUAAGGGCUGAAAGCCAUGCCCUCCUCCUGGGGACAGCCUGUAUCCAGUGACUGGCCAGUAAUGAUGAGCUGAUGUAGGAAUACAGAGGUCCAGCCCCCUAGUCUCACUAUGUAAGAACUCUGCAGGGCCACCCCAGCUCCAGAGCUGUCCACUGCAAUUCUGCAAUUCAGCUGGCCUUGUCCAAUCCCAUUGCCUUCAAUUCCCUGUGGAUAUUCCUCAAUGAAUUGCUCACAUGUGCUUCUCCAUCUUGGAGUUUGUUUCCUGGGGAACUUGACCCAACGUGGCUUAUUAAUAGUCUCCUAGCUUCAACUCUUGUACUUCAAUAGCCUACUUCCACAACAUACCCAGAAUGGCUAACAACACAAAUCUGGCCAUAUCACACCUUGCUUAAAAUCCUUCAAUAACUUUCAUUUACUCCUGGAAUAGAAUCUGAUUCUUGAUCAUGGCUUAAAUUCCUACUUUAUGUAACCCUGCCCCCCUAUUCAUCCUAUUCUCCCUCCAACUCUACUUCUUUGCUUACUGUGCUCUAGUGGCCUUCCUUUUAGUCCAGAGAUUUGGAAUAUACUUUAAUGGGGUCCUUUUUUUCCCCAGCACCCAAACUUAGAUCACCUAGUUCUGCUAACAGAGUGCCUGGCAUGUGUUGGUAGCCAAAAGAAUGCAUUAGUGGAAUAAAUGAAGGUCUAGAAGGUUAGAAUCUAAGGAGAAGGAGCCAUUUCAUUUAUGGACCAUGGGCCUUGCUCAGAAAUGUACCACUGAGAUAUAUCUUUGCACACAGGAAGGCAAGUAGAACUUUUUGAUUACUAGUCUUUAUCUAUAAUAGAAGGUAGGAGCUGGCAAACUUGGUCCUUAGAACUUCACACAAUUUUCUAUCAUCAGAAUUUCUGUUGAAAUCUCCUGAAACAUUCCAUUGAGAGGCAAUCUUUCCCCUUAACGAGACUUAAUCUUAUCACAGUACAAUCUAAGAGACUGCACUUUCCUGCAAGCCUCAUGAAGUUGCGUCUGUCUGGUCCUUUCCUGACUGAGGGAGGUAUCGGACAUUCAAACAGACCUUGCCUAUCACCUUCUCAUGGUUGUAGCCUAUGAAUGCUUCUCUUGGUGGUUUCAUGCCAGUUGACUCUGCUCUAACACAAGAGAAUGGGUCCCUGAGACCUGCAGACUUUUUUGUUUACAUAAUAUUAUGUGUUGAAUUGUGUCCUCCCUAAAAUUCAUAGGUUCAAGUCCCAGUAUCUCCUUAUGGAAGACAGACUCUUUACAGAGUUCAUUAAAUUACAGUGAGUUAAUUAGAGUGGAGCCUAACCCAACAUGGCUGGUAUCCUUAGAAAAAAAUAAAAUUUGCACAGAGACACGUCUACAGGGAGAUGUCAUGUGGACAUGAAGAUGGCCAUCUACAAGCCAAGGAGAGAAGCCACGUAGUGUGUGGUAUCUUGUUAUGACAGCCCUAGUGGACUACACACAGAAUCUAUGCUUCUACAGAGAAGCUGAGUUGGUCUGAGCCAGGGGCUUGGUUUCACAGAAGCAUAUUUAGCUGACAUAAAGUUGUCAGAAAGGGCCAAAAAAACUCUCAAAUCUUUUCCAGAAGUCCUUUGGCAGACUUUCUGUGAAGCUCCAUUGGACAGAACUGAGUCACAUGUGCAUACUUUAUGAAGACAGCGCUUGGGAAGGCCCUCUGCUACAGCAAACUUCUGCGUGUGCUCGCACUGUUGAAGGUUCUUUUCCCAAACACAGCCGCUUAGAAUCAUACAUCUGGUUCUAUCAACUAUAUUCGAGAAAACACAAGCUUCACGCUUCUGGUGCCUGGCUCAAAAAGAUUUUGUCAGGUAGAAAGGCAUCUUUGAUUAGGUGAUUCACCAAUUUCACUUUCUACGUGUCACUCUUCUAGAUCUUAGGGAUACAGACUUGAAGGUCUCUAUUUCAUGGAGUUUACUGUGGAGGUAGCAGUUAAUGACAGCUGGUCAAGACAAAUCCUCCUGGGAGGCUUCUUUAGUUUGGGUGGUCAGCACUCUCUGAGAAGUAUUCAUUUAAACUGAGAGUUGGAAGGUCAGCCAAGUUAGUACCAAUAUGGCAAGGAAGAAUUAGAAGAAGCCAGCUGAGAAUUCUACAGAUUUACAUAUCAUUACAUGCUUUUUUUUUUUUCUUGGACAAUCUCGAGGCUAAUAAAUUCAAAUUUUGCCAUCAGAUUAAGCAAUGGUAGAUUGUGACAUUUGGCAUGAAUUUGGCAAAUGAGAACACAGAUACUUAGAUCCUGGAGGGCACUGGCUUUUGCAAAACCUCCUGAAUUUGUAGAUCUCUGGCUAGUUUCUAUGCUGGGCUCAGUAAUGCUCUCUUACAUUAUACAGCUGAUGAAAAUGUGCAAGUGACAUAAAGCACCCAAAGAAAUUUUCCUGCUCCAUGAGUAUUCUAGCACCCCUCUCUGAAGGGUGGAUUCUGAUCCUCACCAAUGUGUGACCUGCAUCACUCUAGAGGUAUGAUGCUGUGGUUGUCUCCAAGAGCAAUCUGUUCAUUUUGGGAAAGGGCUCCCUUCAGAUGAGAUGAGAUGAUAUAUGCUAAUAUCUAUUAGCAUAUAAUAAUCCUUUCUGAUUCACUGCAAGUCUAGGCUUCUCUGGAGGCAGAGGCUACUUUAGGCAAAAUGGUUCCAUUUCCAACAACUUUUAUACUCUUAAAAAAAAAAAAAAA